CCUACGGGAGGCAGCAGUGGGGAAUAUUGCACAAUGGGGGAAACCCUGAUGCAGCAACGCCGCGUGAGUGAAGAAGUAUUUCGGUAUGUAAAGCUCUAUCAGCAGAGAAGAAAAUGACGGUACCUGACUAAUAAGCCCCUGCUAACUACGUGCCAGCAGCCGCGGUAUUACGUAGGGGGCAAGCGUUAUCCGGAAUUACUGGGUGGAGAGGUAGCGUAGACGGCGGAACAAGUCAGAAGUGAAAGCCCGGGGCUCAACCCUGGGAGUGCUUUUGAUACUGGUUGGCUGGAGUGCAGGAGAGGUGAGCGGAAUUCCUAGUGUAGCGGUGAAAUGCGUAGAUAUUAGGAGGAACACCAGUGGCGAAGGCGGCUUACUGGACUGUAACUGACGUUGAGGCUCGAAAGCGUGGGGAGCAAACAGGAUUAGAUACCCUGGUAGUC
rnacentral:rRNA from 1 species